GACGAACGCUGGCGGCAUGCCUAAUACAUACAAGUCGAGCGAACAGAUGAAGUGCUUGCACUUCUGACGUUAGCGGCGAACGGGUGAGUAACACGUAAGGAAUCUACCUAUAAGCGGGGGAUAACAUUCGGAAACGGGUGCUAAUACCGCAUAAUAUCUUCUUCCGCAUGGAAGGAGAUUGAAAGACGGCUCUGCUGUCACUUAUAGAUGACCUUGCGGUGCAUUAGUUAGUUGGUGGGGUAACGGCCUACCAAGACGAUGAUGCAUAGCCGACCUGAGAGGGUGAUCGGCCACAUUGGGACUGAGACACGGCCCAAACUCCUACGGGAGGCAGCAGUAGGAAAUCUUCCGCAAUGGGCGAAAGCCUGACGGAGCAAUGCCGCGUGAGUGAAGAAGGCCUUCGGGUCGUAAAACUCUGUUAUAAGAGAAGAACAAAUUGUAGAGUAACUGCUACAGUCUUGACGGUAUCUAACCAGAAAGCCACGGCUAACUACGUGCCAGCAGCCGCGGUAA
rnacentral:rRNA from 1 species